CGGACGACGCUGGCGGCGUGCUUAAUCAUGCAAGUCGAGCGAGGCCUUGGAAUUGGAGUCCUUCGGGAUGAAGAGUCCUUGGCCUAGCGGCGGACGGGUGAGUAACGCGUGGGCAACCUACCCCAAAGUCCGGGAUAACAGUGGGAAACCGCUGCUAAUACCGGAUGACUUUACCUGAGGGCAUCCUCGGGUAAAGAAAGGUUACGCUUUGGGAUGGGCCCGCGUCCCAUUAGCUAGUUGGUGAGGUAACGGCUCACCAAGGCGACGAUGGGUAGCCGGCCUGAGAGGGUGAACGGCCACAUUGGAACUGAGAGACGGUCCAAACUCCUACGGGAGGCAGCAGUGGGGAAUAUUGGGCAAUGGGGGAAACCCUGACCCAGCAACGCCGCGUGAGGGAAGAAGGUUUUCGGAUUGUAAACCUCUGUUCUUGGUGAAGAGAAGAAGACGGUAACCGAGGAGGAAGCCCCGGCUAACUACGUG
rnacentral:rRNA from 1 species